AGUGAACGCUGGCGGUAGGCCUAACACAUGCAAGUCGAACGGCAGCACAGUAAGUGCUUGCUCUUACGGGUGGCGAGUGGCGGACGGGUGAGGAAUACAUCGGAAUCUACUUUUUCGUGGGGGAUCACGUAGGGAAACUUACGCUAAUACCGCAUACGACGUACGGGUGAAAGCAGGGGAACUUCGGACCUUGCGGGAGUGAAUGAGCGGAUGUCGGAUUAGCUAGUUGGCGGGGUAAAGGCCCACCAAGGCGAGGAUCCGUAGCUGGUCUGAGAGGAUGAUCAGCAACACUGGAACGUGAACACGGUCCAGGCUCCUACGGGAGGCAGCAGUGGGGAAUGUUGGACAAUGGGCGCAAGCCUUAUCCAGCCAGACCGCGUGGGUGGAGACGGCCUUCGGGUUGUAAAGCCCUUUUGUUGGGAAAGAAAAGCAGCAGGUUAAUACCCCGCUGUUCUGACGGUACCCAAAGAAUAAGCACCGGCUAACUUCGUG
rnacentral:rRNA from 1 species